rnacentral:rRNA from 1 species
CGUGUAGGCGGCUGGGUAAGCCGCGUGUGAAAUCCCGGGGCUCAACCCCGGAACGGCACGCGGAACUGCUCGGCUCGAGAAUGGUAGAGGCGAGUGGAAUUCCUGGUGUAGCGGUGGAAUGCGUAGAGAUCAGGAAGAACACCGGUGGCGAAGGCGGCUCGCUGGGCCAUUUCUGACGCUGAGGCGCGAAAGCGUGGGGAGCAAACA